ACUUGUUUCACAGAUUGGGGCACCCACAUUCCCUUUCCUCACGUCACUGGAUCCCAAGAGACUCUUCUGAGUGAAAUGCCUUGCUGAAGAGAAGCAGGACUUCAUUAAGAGUUUGAUUUAUCCCCAAAUGAUCUAUUGUUAUGCAUCAAACAUGUUUUCCCUACGAACCAGUUGGCAGGGAGCACACAGAUAAAUUACUACAAGAUGUAACCAGACAAGCUGUUGAAAAGGGAAAUGGCUCUCUGUGUGUGGAACUCAGGAGAGCACAUCUAUAAACAUGUGUUGGGAAAUCAAUUCAGUGUAACUUUGUUGGAAGGAAUGAGCUGCUGCCCCCAAACUACCAGCUUGCUGUGAUAGCUAACUGUUUUUUUGAGGUCAUCGUCCGUUGUCUCAGUGAUGGCUGGGGAAACCUGUAUCUGAAGGGAAGGAAGUCACUGCCUCAUAAAGGAGGUCUGCAUUAGAUGCCUCUCCUACGGGCUCUCAGCACUCCGUCUACUCCUCUUAAUCGCUGUUGUUAAUUUCCUGUGCACUUUUCUCCGUGUUCCAUUUGAUCCUAAAUGUCAUGAUGGUAACACUGCAUCCACUGUGUUCAACAUGAACAGCAGCAGCAGCAAUUAAAACUCAUUACAUCGC